rnacentral:rRNA from 1 species
UACGUAGGGUGCAAGCGUUGUCCGGAAUUAUUGGGCGUAAAGAGCUCGUAGGCGGUUCGUCGCGUCGGCUGUGAAAACCCGGAGCUCAACUCCGGGCCUGCAGUCGAUACGGGCGGACUCGAGUUUCGGCAGGGGGAGACUGGAAUUCCUGGUGUAGCGGUGAAAUGCGCAGAUAUCAGGAGGAACACCGAUGGCGAAGGCAGGUCACUGGGCCGCAACUGACGCUGAGGAGCGAAAGCCAGGGAGCAAACGGG